UGCCCAAGGGUUAUGAUAAAUGGGGAUUGAGGUUAUCCUAAUCCCCAUUUAAUCCUACUUCCUCUACGUUUUUCCCUCCAUUUUUCUUUGUACAACCCUAAAAUCACACUACCCCAUUUUCUUUAAUUUAUGUACGACUUUCUUCCCUUUUCCUCUGAUUAUCUUCCUUAUUUUUUGUUGUCUUCUUCCUUUUCUCUUCCUAAAACGAAAUGAAAUUGGAAAUCUAUUUCCUUCCCUCCCAUUUUUGAUGAUAUUCAAAUUCUCUUCGUCUUCGAUUUUUGUCCUACUCUCUCCAAUUUUAUGUCCCUGCUGUUGAAACUCAUUUUCGUUUUGCGAUGGUUGCAUUUCGAUGCUACCUCUAAAACGGUUCUCAUCCUCUCUCUGAUGCGCUUCGUUGACCGGUUGCGACAAAUGUGCGUUACCUCCGAAACAUUUCUCAUCCUCUUUCCAUCUUUCCAUAUGUUUGGUUUGCCAAUGAACCCUUGUGGCUUUCCAACCCUUAACGGUCCCAGAACAAUUUUACUAACUUUUGUUUUGAUCGAACGACCUGAUGCGACACUAAUAUGUUGAACAGAAGCCGAGUAGGGGCACUGCGAAGCAUGACAGGGGUCGUCGGUCAACACUGAAGCUCGCAGUUAAACCAUUCGUAAAUGAGAGAUUUCCAAAGCUGUACACAUACAAUAUCAAGAGGGACAAAAAUAUAGAAGAAUAAAGGAAAAAGGUAUAAAAAAAGUAUGGUUAUAUACACACAAACGAAUACAUUUUUAAAAUAAAAAACAAAGAAGCAAAUAAGAGUAUGAAAACAAUGGAUUUAUGCAAGAAGUACCACCCCAAUGCAUGCACAAAUAUUAUAUAUAUUUAUAUUGUUCUAAAAUCUCUAUAUAAGUUUCUUCUUAUAUGCAUGGAAAAAAAAAAUUAAAGGCUACAAACCGAUAUUUAAUCAUAUGAAUUAAAUCUCUCUCUUUUCUACUUUUGCUGUAUGUUGUGUAUAAUUUAAUUAAGCUGUGUUUGGAUGUAUAUAUAUAUAUAUAUAUAUAUUAUCAUGAUCUGUGUUAAUAAUGAGGAAUUUCUUAAGAAGAUUUGGAUCAAUUGACCUUUGACAAGUGAUGAUUAGAUAUGGCUUUCAUCACCUUAACCUGCGUGGACAAGCAAUGGAUGUAAUUCGCAGUUUCCUCCAACAACGUGCACACGUCCAUGGUCUCACCACCGGGGAGCAGGCGUCGGAGCUUACCCACCAUGUCAUCAGAGCUAGUCGAGGGUCUUCUUUUUCUCCUCAUUAGAGUCUUGUGUCUGGGUCGCGUAUGGAGCCUGAAGAGAAGGGCUCUAGCCCAAGCUCGCCUUCGCCCUGCAACCCGAGCCAUGGAAGAGUAUGCAGCCAUUUUUAUCCGUCGACUCUGGCGUUUUAGCUGAUCUGGAGGAGCGGAGGCAAAGGUGGCGGAUCUUUGGGAUUUGAUUCGGGAGAACAAUCUGUUAGAAAUUAAUAAGCUAGAUACAUUAUGGAUAACACAUUAAUAGAUACAUUUCUAGUUUCAAGAUACAUAUGCAUUUCUAGAUACAUGUAAUUAUUCAAGUACAUGAAUGGUAUGUAUUCAUGUACUUCAUUUAUUUUGUGUCUUUUAGGAAGUGUCUCUUGAAUACUAUAUAUAGAGAUCAUUUCCUUCAUUUGUAUACAUAGAUAAAAAAGAAUCAAAUCAAUAGAAGCAAAUUGAGUUUUAGAAAGUAA